rnacentral:antisense_RNA from 1 species
UUUGAUCGACCCCAACCACAACGGCCGAUCGGCCGGGCGGCCCCGCCCGUAGGUGGCCAACAAAGCUUGCGCCUC